rnacentral:rRNA from 1 species
CACCGGCGGCUCGAGUGGUGGCCACUUUUAUUGGGUCUAAAGCGUCCGUAGCCGGCUUGGCAAGUCCCCUGGGAAAUCUGGCGGCUUAACCGUCAGGCGUCCAGAGGAUACUGCCAGGCUUGGGACCGGGAGAGGUGAGAGGUACCUCAGGGGUAGGGGUGAAAUCUUGUGAUCCCUGAGGGACCACCAGUGGCGAAGGCGUCUCACUAGAACGGGUCCGACGGUCAGGGACGAGAGCUGGGGGCACGAACCGG